rnacentral:tRNA from 1 species
GCCGAGAUCGUAUAGUGGUGAGUACUCUGCGUUGUGCACGCAUUGCAGUCUCGGUUCGAACCCGAGUCCCAGCA